rnacentral:rRNA from 1 species
AUAUUAAUAAGCAAAGGAGAGGAAAUCAACUGAGAUUGCCUUAGUAAUUGCGAAUGAACCGGCAAAAGCUCAUUGCUGAAGCGUGUUAAAUUCAUUUUUGACAUGCAUUGUAGCAUUUAGGGUGACUAUUGUAUAGUACCUAUUCGUGUGAGUUCCUUUGAUCAGGGCUUUAACCAUAGAAGGUGCUAGUCCUAUAAUCACGAAUAGUUUUGUGCUGUACAUUGUACACCUUUCGGGUAGCGUAGUUUGAGAUUGCUACGCCAACAUGGGACGUAAACUUGUUCCAAAAGCUUAAAUA